CGGAGCCUUAAUUGCAGCGCUGCGGCUCUCAGCUCUGAAAGUUGUGCGCGAGGGGUUCUGAUGCGAGUGAUAAAACGAGCGCUUAACGUUAUUAUUGCCGUUCUGCUCAGAUACUGUCAGCGACAUUAAUGACAAAUGGAAACGGCUUAUUUUAUAUGGAGAGCGGUGCUAAGGAGGGCUCUCUCCCCGGCUUGUUAAAUAUUUGACCUGGUAAAAGGGCCGCGUUUGUUAUUUCGUUCCCCCGUUCCGACUAGCUGGAUGGCUCGAGGAGCUGACAGCAGCCGCUGGUCCAUGCCACCGAACUAAAGUAAUUUCACAGUGAAAAACCAGCUCGGGAGGACAAGCAACAGAAGGGCAAAAGCCAUCACAACCCCAAACUCAGAUCGAUCUGACCGGAGUCAGGCAUACAUUAGUUUAAAUUAAACAGUUUCAUCUUCCUCACAAAUCUUUUUUGAACGCUAAAGAUAAACUCAUGUAAUAUUUAAAUCAACCCCUGUCAGACGCUAAGUGCAACCGAAGAACCAAAAUAAAAAUUAAUGACUUUCCCGGCGCUGUGCUCGGCUCGCUCUGGGUGCCGCUUCGACAAAAUACUUCUGAUAAGCGACGCUUAGAAAAGAAGGGUUCUGUUUAUCUUAUCUGUGGGGAAAUGUAAUUAAGCUGGUUUUAUGAAACAAUAAAACACAGACUCCACAGACAGCAAAGGAGUUCCUGCAGUAUAUCUCGGCCUAUAUGGGCGUACGUAUCUUGGCUUGUGCGCGCAGGUCGAUACCGAACACACACAUACAUGUUUGCCUUCCUGAUUUCCGAGCGCUAAGCGGACGGCGGAGCUGAGCACGGGGAUGCCUCCGCGACCGGGAGGAUUUACUCGGCUGUAGGAGGCCUCGUUUUGCGGGACGGGGAAGUCGCUCCCCACCACCUUCGAAUCCGCCCCGAGCGCUGCGGCCCCGCUCCCCUGCGCCGGGGCUUUGCUGAGCCGUGCGGGCUGCGAGCGAGAUGGCCCAGGCGAGCGGAGCCCCGAAGGCCCAGGCUGGCCCGGACAGGGGCACACGUGCAUUCCUGUUCUGUGAAAUACAGACCAAACUCCAUUCUUUCAUAUUCAGAAAAGACGGAGAGAAAUACUGCCUUUCUUUCAUACUAUUGGCUUUCACCGCAGGCUUUCG
ensembl:lncRNA